GGAGAGCUGUGUAAGAAACGGAGCUAGAAUUGAACAAAAGCGAUCAAUCACAUUCACCACGGAAAAGAACUGAUGACUAAAUGGGUCAUAGUAUGUGUUUUUAAAUUUCUAAUGUUCACGUACAUUUUUUAUACUUAUGAGUUCUCACCCUGCAACUAGAAUUAAUA